rnacentral:lncRNA from 1 species
UUUUCCUAUCAGGAUGAAUACCAGGAAGAUCAUCAAGAAAAACCUUAGAAAAUUCAUUAACCACGAGAAUGGAUUGCAAUAAAGGACCUUCCAAUUUAGAAUCUUUAACCCCAACCAAAUGAUAAAGACACCCUUUUGAAAUUAGCUUCCGGUCUCUAAGAUAAGAAAUAAACCUUCUCGUAGGCACUAGGGAACUCCUUUCCCAUUCUAUAACUGACUUAUUAGAAA